AAGUAAAAGUCGUAACAAGGUCUCCGUUGGUGAACCAGCGGAGGGAU
rnacentral:rRNA from 1 species